rnacentral:misc_RNA from 1 species
UUUGAUUUUGAUUUUCAUAAACCAAACACCUACUCUGUAAAUCAGGGGAUUUCUUCAAACAUAUUCAAGAACUGGGAAGCUUGUGCCUCUACACUAUGAAAGCCUCUACACUAUGAAAGGCAAAGAGUCUUUGGGAGGAGUUAGUGGUAAGCCUCGAAAUUCUAAUCUUUUUAAAAUUUUCCUUUGGCAUGAUGCUCCAAACGGGUCUAUAAAUUAUAAAAUCGAACAUUGUAAACUUUGUAGGGUC